GACGUAGGGCGCGAGCGUUGUCCGGAUUUAUUGGGCGUAAAGAGCUCGUAGGCGGCUUGUCACGUCGAUUGUGAAAGCCCGAGGCUUAACCUCGGGUCUGCAGUCGAUACGGGCUAGCUAGAGUGUGGUAGGGGAGAUCGGAAUUCCUGGUGUAGCGGUGAAAUGCGCAGAUAUCAAGGAGGAACACCGGUGGCGAAGGCGGAUCUCUGGGCCAUUACUGACGCUGAGGAGCGAAAGCGUGGGGAGCGAACAGGA
rnacentral:rRNA from 1 species